rnacentral:rRNA from 1 species
GACGAACGCUGGCGGCGUGCUUAACACAUGCAAGUCGAACGGAAAGGCCCUGCUUUUGUGGGGUGCUCGAGUGGCGAACGGGUGAGUAACACGUGAGUAACCUGCCCUUGACUUUGUGAUAACUUCAGGAAACUGGGGCUAAUACCGGAUAGGAGCUCCUGCUGCAUGGUGGGGGUUGGAAAGUUUCGGCGGUUGGGGAUGGACUCGCGGCUUAUCAGCUUGUUGGUUGGGUAGUGGCUUACCAAGGCUUUGACGGGUAGCCGGCCUGAGAGGGUUACAGGCAACAUUGGGACUGAGAGACGGCCCAGACUACUACGGGAGGCAGCAGUGGGGAAUAUUGCACAAUGGGCGGAAGCCUGAUGCAGCAACGCCGCGUGCGGGAUGACGGCCUUCGGGUUGUAAACCGCUUUCGCCUGUGACGAAGCGUGAGUGACGGUAAUGGGUAAAGAAGCACCGGCUAACUACGUG